AUUGAACGCUGGCGGCAUGCCUAACACAUGCAAGUCGAACGAGUGGCGGACGGGUGAGUAAUGUCUGGGAACCUGCCUGAUGGAGGGGGAUACCUACUGUAAACGGUAGCUACUACCGCAUACCAUCAGAUGUGCCCAGAUGGGAUUAGCUAGUUGGUGGGGUAACGGCUCACCAAGGCGACGAUCCCUAGCUGGUCUGAGAGGAUGAUCGGCCACACUGGAACUGAGACACGGUCCAGACUCCUACGGGAGGCAGCAGUGGGGAAUAUUGCACAAUGGGCGAAAGCCUGAUGCAGCAAUGCCGCGUGAAUGAAGAAGGCCUUCGGGUUGUAAAGUACUGUCAGCGGGGAGGCGUUAUCCGAAGAGGAAGCCACGGCUAACUCCGUGCCAGCAGCCGCGGUAAUAC
rnacentral:rRNA from 1 species